rnacentral:rRNA from 2 species
UAGGGAAUCUUCGGCAAUGGACGGAAGUCUGACCGAGCAACGCCGCGUGAGUGAAGAAGGUUUUCGGAUCGUAAAACUCUGUUGUUAGAGAAGAACAAGGAUGAGAGUAGAAUGUUCAUCCCUUGACGGUAUCUAACCAGAAAGCCACGGCUAACUACGUGCCAGCAGCCGCGGUAAUACGUAGGUGGCAAGCGUUGUCCGGAUUUAUUGGGCGUAAAGCGAGCGCAGGCGGUUUCUUAAGUCUGAUGUGAAAGCCCCCGGCUCAACCGGGGAGGGUCAUUGGAAACUGGGAAACUUGAGUGCAGAAGAGGAGAGUGGAAUUCCAUGUGUAGCGGUGAAAUGCGUAGAUAUAUGGAGGAACACCAGUGGCGAAGGCGGCUCUCUGGUCUGUAACUGACGCUGAGGCUCGAAAGCGUGGGGAGCAAACAGG